rnacentral:rRNA from 1 species
UGGGGAAUAUUGGACAAUGGGGGAAACCCUGAUCCAGCAAUGCCGCGUGUGUGAAGAAGGCCUUCGGGUUGUAAAGCACUUUAGGCCGGGAAGAAAAAGCGUUACCUAAUACGUAACGCCUUGACGGUACCGGCGGAAUAAGCACCGGCUAACUCUGUGCCAGCAGCCGCGGUAAUACAGAGGGUGCAAGCGUUAAUCGGAUUUACUGGGCGUAAAGCGUGCGUAGGCGGUUCAGUAUGUCGGUCGUGAAAUCCCCGGGCUUAACCUGGGAACUGCGGCCGAAACUGCUGGGCUCGAGUGUGGUAGAGGGCGGUGGAAUUCCGGGUGUAGCGGUGAAAUGCGUAGAGAUCCGGAGGAACAUCAAUGGCGAAGGCAGCCGCCUGGGCCACAACUGACGCUGAGGUACGAAAGCGUGGGGAGCAAACAGG